rnacentral:misc_RNA from 1 species
UACCACUGUACAUGAAACAAUUUAAUCAUCUAGUAUGGUUAUCAGCCUUCGCUAGGAUAAGCUCCUUUCGAGCUUCUUCGAGAUUCUUUUCAGUUUCUACCAACUCCGGGGAAUGAAGAGGGGACAGAACAGAGCUACCUAAAACAGGGAACCCUCCCAAAACCAUCAUGUCCUCAAGACUAACCUCACCAUCUUCUUUGUGAGAAACAAAUAAUGGUAGAGAAAAGUAGGA